AUUGAACGCUGGCGGCAGGCCUAACACAUGCAAGUCGAACGGCAGCACAGAAGAGCUUGCUCUUUGGGUGGCGAGUGGCGGACGGGUGAGUAAUGUCUGGGAAACUGCCCGAUGGAGGGGGAUAACUACUGGAAACGGUAGCUAAUACCGCAUAACGUCGCAAGACCAAAGUGGGGGACCUUCGGGCCUCACACCAUCGGAUGUGCCCAGAUGGGAUUAGCUAGUAGGUGGGGUAAUGGCUCACCUAGGCGACGAUCCCUAGCUGGUCUGAGAGGAUGACCAGCCACAUUGGAACUGAGACACGGUCCAGACUCCUACGGGAGGCAGCAGUGGGGAAUAUUGCACAAUGGGCGCAAGCCUGAUGCAGCCAUGCCGCGUGUAUGAAGAAGGCCUUCGGGUUGUAAAGUACUUUCAGCGGGGAGGAAGGCGGUGAGGUUAAUAACCUCGCCGAUUGACGUUACCCGCAGAAGAAGCACCGGCUAACUCCGUGCCAGCCGCCGCGGUAAGAC
rnacentral:rRNA from 1 species